AGGCUGGAUCCUUGCUCAGCUCCUGCUCCUUCCAUCCUGGGUUUCCAUUCCCAGUUUCUCAACAGGACUCUUGAAUUUUUGCCCAUGUCACAUUAAAAGCAGAAUUGAAAAAGUUUAUUAAAUCUGUGCCCCUAAAUCAACCCAACACAGCCAGCCCAGAUGGAAACUCAUCCUCAUAAACAGCUUCAGAGUGGAGUGAAAAUGCUGCUGAACUCAAAGCUUUUCUGGCUCUGGUGAGAAUAUUCCUGCAGUUCAUCACUGGGGAUAAACUGGGAUUUGAUAACACCUCAUCCAUGAAAAUCCUCUUGUGCUGUUUGAGGCUUCAUGCAAACC